rnacentral:rRNA from 1 species
UGGUGGUCAAGCUAAAGCUAGCAAACACAUUCACAUUCCGAACAUGUUAGUUAAAGGCUUUAGGGUUCGUUGUACUUGAAAAAGGGAGACCGAACUACUGCCAGUGA